GAUGAACGCUGGCGGCGUGCUUAACACAUGCAAGUCGAACGGAAAGGCCCAAGCUUGCUUGGGUACUCGAGUGGCGAACGGGUGAGUAACACGUGGGUGAUCUGCCCUGCACUUCGGGAUAAGCCUGGGAAACUGGGUCUAAUACCGGAUAGGACCACAUUUUGGAUGGUGUGGUGGAAAGUUUUUCGGUGUGGGAUGAGCUCGCGGCCUAUCAGCUUGUUGGUGGGGUAAUGGCCUACCAAGGCGUCGACGGGUAGCCGGCCUGAGAGGGUGUACGGCCACAUUGGGACUGAGAUACGGCCCAGACUCCUACGGGAGGCAGCAGUGGGGAAUAGUGCACAAUGGGCGCAAGCCUGAUGCAGCGACGCCGCGGGGGGGAUGACGGCCUUCGGGUUGGAAACUCCUUUCGCUAGGGACGAAGCGUUAUGUGACGGUACCUGGAGAAGAAGCACCGGCUAACUACGUG
rnacentral:rRNA from 1 species